GACUGGUCCCUGAGUGGUGCUGUUUACAACUCAUUGAUUACAAUCAGUUAGAUUUCUUUGUUCCUUUUCCACGCCCACUGCUUCACUUGACUAGCCUUCA
ensembl:misc_RNA Y_RNA Y RNA